rnacentral:rRNA from 1 species
AUUGAACGCUGGCGGCAUGCCUUACACAUGCAAGUCGAACGGUAACGCGGGGCAACCUGGCGACGAGUGGCGAACGGGUGAGUAAUGCAUCGGAACGUGCCUGGUAAUGGGGGAUAACUGCUCGAAAGAGCAGCUAAUACCGCAUACGACCUGAGGGUGAAAGGGGGGGAUCGCAAGACCUCCCGUUAUCAGAGCGGCCGAUGUCGGAUUAGCUAGUUGGUGGGGUAAAAGCCCACCAAGGCGACGAUCCGUAGCUGGUCUGAGAGGACGACCAGCCACACUGGGACUGAGACACGGCCCAGACUCCUACGGGAGGCAGCAGUGGGGGAAUUUUGGACAAUGGACGCAAGUCUGAUCCAGCCAUGCCGCGUGCGGGAAGAAGGCCUUCGGUGUAACGCUUUGUCAGGAAGAAAUACGUUCUAGGCGUAAUACCUUGGGAGGAGUGACGGUACC